rnacentral:rRNA from 1 species
GACGAACCACACAAACGUUAUUCGGAAUCAUUGGGCGUAAAGCGCGCGUAGGCGGCCUCAUAAGUCCGUUGUGAAAGUCAAAGGCUCAACCUUUGAAAGCCGAUGGAUACUGUGAGGCUAGAGUCCGGAAGAGGCGAGUGGAAUUCCUGGUGUAGCGGUGGAAUGCGCAGAUAUCAGGAGGAACACCAAUAGCGAAGGCAGCUCGCUGGGACGGUACUGACGCUAAGGCGCGAAAGCGUGGGGAGCGAACAGG